UAAUUAUGUAAAAUUAUAACUAAAAAAUUAAUAGUUAUGAUCUUUAAAUUUAAAAAAUUUGGCGGUAUUUUAGUCUAUUCAGAGGAACCUGUUCUAUAAUUGAUAAUCCACGAUUAGAAGUACUUAAUUUUUUAGUUUGUAUAUCGUUGUUUAAAUAAUUUUAUAAGAAAUAUAAUUAUUAUAAAAUUUAAUUAAAUCAAUAAUCAAAUCAAGGUGCAGUUUAUAAUUAAGAAGAAAUGGGUUACAAUAAAUAUUAUUUAUAUGAAUAAUAUUAUUAAAUUAAUAUUUGAAGGUGGAUUUGAUUGUAAAUAUAUAUAUAUAUAUAUAUUGAUUAUAGCUCUAAAAUAUGU
rnacentral:rRNA from 1 species